UUGUAGGGUUGUUUAGGUGCUCAGGAUGGAACAUUCAUUGAAGUUAGAGUCCUUGAAGAGGUCAUUUACGCACAUUGAAAGGUCAAGUAGCCAUCAAUGUCCUUAGGGUUUCCAAUCCAAACAUGCAAUUUAUAUAUGUCCUCAUCAGUUGGGAAAGUACUGGAGAUGAUAGCCGUGUUUUACACGAUGCUAUCCACAGACCCAAUGCUCUCUAAGUGCCUUUAGACCCCUCCCGGUACAUAAUUGAGGACGCCCGCUGCCCGGUUUGCCUUAUUCAUCGAUGACUCCUACUGGAAGUCCUCACUGGCCCAAUAUGUCUGCAUACACAGUUGCCCAAUGCAUGAAGCUAUUGUAGACCUUCAAGUUUAUGGACUAAAUAAUGUAUUAUUGGAGUUGAAGAGUUCAAGUCAUACCAAUCAUGUCAUGGGCUUUGAUAUGACAACUCCUUCCAUGUCAGUUUAGUCGGCUUGAUAAACGUUUGUCAACCAUCCAUUAAUAAUGUAUAGAUGCCACACGUCUAUCGUUAAUGA